rnacentral:lncRNA from 1 species
AGGGCGUUCCAGUUUAGGGCGUUCCAGGUUUAAGAUUAUUCCUGCUGGGAAUAGGGUGUAUCCUGCUGCCUGAGUUCCCCUUGAGUUCUCACGGGAUUCAGACAGUAUAUUUUGGGAGACAGAAGCCCAGUGGGGGUGGAUUUGGGCAGAGAACGUGGAUUUCCCCAGAACGUGAUUGUAGAUGGCUGGUGUGAGUUCGGGAAUAAAGAGUUGCUGUUUGAAUCUACAAGCUGUGUGGUGGCUCGUGAUUGUGUGCCCAGCCAGACUGCGGCAUUUGGUGGCCCGUGCGGGGAACUUCUGAAGCUUGGAGGUAAGUGAAAUUGCUCGUCCCUGAGGAAGAGCAAAAGAAUGGGUGACCAUUUCAAAAAAAAACAAUGCGUUCUUGUUUUGAUUUAUCUUGUUUUUGUUUCAAGCUGCCUAUCCCUAGAAAUUUCUCAGGCAAACUGG